CAUGUAGGUGGUUAUGUAAGUCGAGCGUGAAAUCCUUUGGCUCAACCAAAGAACUGCACUCGAAACUGCAUAACUUGAGUUCAGGAGAGGAAAGCGGAAUUCCCGGUGUAAGAGUGAAAUCUGUAGAGAUCGGGAGGAACACCAGUGGCGAAGGCGGCUUUCUGGACUGAUACUGACACUGAAAUGCGAAAGCUAGGGGAGCAAACAGGAUUAGAUACCUGGUAGUCC
rnacentral:rRNA from 1 species